AAACGGGGCGACAACACCAACUGACAAACUUCUCUCGCAGCUGUUUUCACUUCUUUCAGGAGUGAUAAUAUAAUCUCUCUACAACAGAAGAGAAGCUUCAAAAUGUAAAUGUUUCUGAAUGGAGCUGCUGACAGAAAUGUAGGAAACACAGAUUCUUCUAUAAUGAUGGUGUUCAGCAGAGUUGGAGCAGACCUCCUGUCGGACAACAUCUCUAAGGCGCU